UUCUAGAGUUUGAUCCUGGCUCAGGAUUAACGCUAGCGGCAUGCCUAAUACAUGCAAGUCGAACGAAAGUAGCAAUACUUUAGUGGCGAACGGGUGAGUAACACGUAUCUAACCUACCAUUUAGUGAGGAAUAACUGUUGGAAACAACAGCUAAUACCGCAUAUGUUAUUUAUUUGCAAUGAUAAAUAAUGAAAGGAGCAUUUGCUUCGCUAAUUGAUGGGGAUGCGGCGCAUUAACUAGUUGGUAAGGUAAUGGCUUACCAAGGUAACGAUGCGUAGCCGAUCUGAGAGGAUGAACGGCCACAUUGGGAAUGAGACACGGCCCAAACUUCUACGGAAGGCAGCAGUAGGGAAUUUUUCACAAUGGGCGAAAGCCUGAUGGAGCAAUGCCGCGUGACUGAUGAAGGUCUUCGGAUUGUAAAGGUCUGUUGUAAGAGAAGAAGUGCUAGAAUAGGAAAUGAUUUUAGUAUCGACCAUACCUUACCAGAAAGCCACGGGCUAA
rnacentral:rRNA from 1 species